CGUUGUCCGGAAUUAUUGGGCGUAAAGAGCUCGUAGGCGGUUUGUUGCGUCUAUCGUGAAAACCUGCAGCUUAACUGUGGGCUUGCGGUGGAUACGGGCAGACUUGAGUUCGGUAGGGGAGACUGGAAUUCCUGGUGUAGCGGUGAAAUGCGCAGAUAUCAGGAGGAACACCGAUGGCGAAGGCAGGUCUCUGGGCCAUAACUGACGCUGAGAAGCGAAAGCAUGGGGAGCGAACAGG
rnacentral:rRNA from 1 species